UACGUAGGGUGCAAGCGUUGUCCGGAAUUAUUGGGCGUAAAGAGCUCGUAGGCGGUCUGUUGCGUCGGCUGUGAAAACCCGAGGCUCAACCUCGGGCCUGCAGCCGAUACGGGCAGACUAGAGUUCGGCAGGGGAGACUGGAAUUCCUGGUGUAGCGGUGAAAUGCGUAGAUAUCUGGAGGAACACCGGUGGCGAAAGCGGCUCACUGGACCGAGUCUGACACUGAGGUGCGAAAGCUAGGGUAGCAAACGGG
rnacentral:rRNA from 1 species